rnacentral:rRNA from 1 species
GACGAACCGUGCGAACGUUGUUCGGAAUCACUGGGCGUAAAGCGCACGUAGGCGGAUUGUUAAGUCAGGGGUGAAAUCCUGGAGCUCAACUCCAGAACUGCCUUUGAUACUGGCGAUCUCGAGUCCGGGAGAGGUGAGUGGAACUGCGAGUGUAGAGGUGAAAUUCGUAGAUAUUCGGAAGAACACCAGUGGCGAAGGCGGCUCACUGGCCCGGUACUGACGCUGAGACGCGAAAGCGUGGGGAGCGAACAGG